GGCCAGAUGGGGCUAUCUGAAGAUGAACAGAAAGCAUCCCAACAACAUAGGCUCAGCAUUUAUGGUGGAACAGAUGUGGACAGAGGCACCAUAAACUCAAAUGAUGUUGGUAUUCGCACAUGUGGAUCCCAAUUAGAGGGUAUGGGCUGUUGCCAGGCAAAUGGAAAUGUCUCAUGUUGUCAGACCACUCAACCACCAGUUGAUGCAGACAAUUUCAAUCUCAACCAAGAGAACGCUGAGUUUACAACCGAAAAGAAGAGCAGCUUCAAGAGACAAGUUUCUCGAAGUAGCAGUGGCAAAGGGACUCGUUCUCGCAAGGUGUGCUCAAUGCCUACUUGGUACGAGAGCUGGGAGCGUGAAGAUACGUAUGCAGUUCUUGCUGUUGUUGGUGCUGCCAUAUCAGUUGCCUAUGCCUUCAACUGCUACAGACAGCUGAAGUAAUAUUAUUUAUAAAGAAGUUCACAUUUGAUUUCAUUGUUGGUUAAAAACAAUUAUGUGCUUUGUCUAAUGUAAAUUUAGGUUAUUGCAUGUGUGUAAGUCACUUGCAAUGAAGUCUAGAAUUUGAUUUACUUGGGGGGAUAACAUUUAUGCCAAAUAGUGUUGUAAUGAUAGACUAUUGGUUCUGUAAAUUUAGGAGCCUUCUUUUGUUUGCAUGUUUCCAACACUUCCUGGUGUCUGAAGUGUUUGUUUGAUCUUUGAAUCUGUUGGCUCUUAUUAUUAAAGGAAA
rnacentral:misc_RNA from 1 species